UACGUAGGGACCAAGCGUUGUUCGGAUUUACUGGGCGUAAAGGGCGCGUAGGCGGCAGAUCAAGUCAGUUGUGAAAUCUCUGGGCUUAACUCAGAACUGUCAACUGAUACUGUUUUGCUAGAGUGCGGAAGGGGCAAUCGGAAUUCUCGGUGUAGCGGUGAAAUGCGUAGAUAUCGAGAGGAACACCUGAGGUGAAGACGGGUUGCUGGGCCGACACUGACGCUGAGUGCGCGAAAGCCAGGGGAGCAAACGGG
rnacentral:rRNA from 1 species